UCCGUAGGCGGGCGAUUAAGUCAGAGGUGAAAUCCCACAGCUCAACUGUGGAACUGCCUUUGAUACUGGUUGUCUUGAGUUACAGUGAAGUAGAUAGAAUAUGUAGUGUAGCGGUGAAAUGCUUAGAUAUUACAUAGAAUACCGAUUGCGAAGGCAGUCUACUAACUAUAUACUGACGCUAAUGGACGAAAGCGUGGGGAGCGAACAGGAUUAGAUACCCUGGUAGUCC
rnacentral:rRNA from 1 species